rnacentral:tRNA from 2 species
CCAGGGGUGACAGAGUGGCCAAUUGUACUAGACUGUAAAUCUAGCGGCGUAAGCCUCCGGGGGUUCGAAUCCCUCCCCCUGGA